rnacentral:rRNA from 1 species
UACGUAGGGGGCUAGCGUUGUCCGGAAUCAUUGGGCGUAAAGAGCGUGUAGGCGGCCCGGUAAGUCCGCUGUGAAAGUCCGGGGCUCAACCCUCGAAUGCCGGUGGAUACUGUCGGGCUAGAGUGCGGAAGAGGCGAGUGGAAUUCCUGGUGUAGCGGUGAAAUGCGCAGAUAUCAGGAGGAACACCAAUUGCGAAGGCAGCUCGCUGGGACGUAACUGACGCUGAGACGCGAAAGCGUGGGGAGCAAACAGG